CCGGGUAGCUAUGUUCGGACGGGAUAACCGCUGAAAGCAUCUAAGCGGGAAGCCCCCCUCGAGAUUAGGUAUCCCGAGCCGUAAGGCUCCUGAAGACCCCACGUAGACUACGUGGUUGAUAGGCGGGGUGUGGAAGUGCAGCAAUGCAUGGAGCUAACCCGUACUAAUCGGUCGUGCGGCUUGACCACCUAUAUUUCUG
rnacentral:rRNA from 1 species